rnacentral:rRNA from 1 species
GGAUUAGAUACCCUGGUAGUCCUAGCUGUAAACGAUGGAUACUAGAUGUGGGAACUGGAUUCACGGUUUCCGUAUCGUAGCUAACGCGUUAAGUAUCCCGCCUGGGGAGUACGGCCGCAAGGCUAAAACUCAAAGGAAUUGACGGGACCCCGCACAAGCGGCGGAGCAUGCGGCUUAAUUCGAUGAUACCCGUAGAACCUUACCUGGACUUGACAUAUAGAGUCUAGCCAUAGAAAUAUGGUGUGCAUUAGCGCUCUAUACAGGUGGUGCAUGGCUGUCGUCAGCUCGUGCCG